UUUUUGGCAUUGUUUCAUUUUGAGAAUAUUAGUAAGGAAUAUAUUGAAGACUUGUGGGGGAUUUAUGGACUAGGAAAGCCGACAACCUGCAAUUAAAGAGAAGAGCAUUAAUUAGCUAGUUUCUGGCAUUAUUGUUGUAGACAAGUAAUUGUAUACUGCUGGGAUUAAGAAAGUCCCUCCCUUCGGAUCUCUCUUAAGGAUAUGAUGUGCAUAGGGAUCGCAACGUGUCGAGUUUUUGCGGGCG
rnacentral:misc_RNA from 1 species